CCCUUAGAUGUUCUGGACCGCACGCGCGCUACACUGAUACAUGCAACGAGUUUAUAACCUUGAUCUGACGGUCUGGGUAAUCUUCAAACUGUAUCGUGUUAGGGAUCGAUUCUUGCAAUUUUUAAUCGUAAACGAGGAAUUCCUAGUAAACGCAAGUCAUCAGCUUGCAUUGAUUACGUCCCUGCCCUUUGUACACACCGCCCGUCGACUCUACCGAUUGAAUGGUUCGGUGAAAACUUUGGACUGUGGCAUUGUCCUUCAUUGGACUUCGCCGUAGGAAAUUGUUUAAACCUCAUCAUUUAGAGGAAGAAUAAGUCGUAACA
rnacentral:rRNA from 1 species